GAUGAACGCUAGCGGCAGGCCUAAUACAUGCAAGUCGGACGGGAUCCAUCGGUAGCUUGCUACCGAUGGUGAGAGUGGCGCACGGGUGCGUAACGCGUGAGCAACCUGCCCAUAUCAGGGGGAUAGCCCGGAGAAAUCCGGAUUAACACCGCAUGACACUGCUUUCCGGCAUCGGGAGGCGGUCAAAUAUUCAUAGGAUAUGGAUGGGCUCGCGUGACAUUAGCUAGUUUGUGGGGUAACGGCCCACCAAGGCGACGAUGCCUAGGGGCUCUGAGAGGGGAAUCCCCCGCACUGGUACUGCGACACGGACCAGACUCCUACGGGAGGCAGCAGUAAGGAAUAUUGGUCAAUGGGGGCAACCCUGAACCAGCCAUGCCGCGUGCAGGACGACUGCCCUAUGGGUUGUAAACUGCUUUUGUUAGGGAAUAAACCCCGCUACGUGUAGCGGGCUGAAUGUACCUAAAGAAUAAGGAUCGGCUAACUCCGUGCCAGCCGCCGCCGUAA
rnacentral:rRNA from 1 species